AGCGGGAUGGAGCAGUCCGGUAGCUCGUUGGGCUCAUAACCCAAAGGUCGUAGGUUCAAAUCCUACUCCCGCAACCA
rnacentral:tRNA from 1 species